UUCGCAAUGCCCGAAAGGGUGACGAAGCGACGCCGCGUGGGUGAAGAAGGCCUUCGGGUUGUAAAGCCCUGUCAGGAGUUAUGAAAUGUAGGUGCGAUAAUACCGUGCCUAUUUGACAAAGGCUCCAAAGGAAGCCACGGCUAACUCUGUGCCAGCAGCCGCGGGAAUACAGAGGUGGCAAGCGUUGUUCGGAAUUAUUGGGCGUAAAGAGCACGUAGGUGGGUUUGUAAGUCAGAUGUGAAAGCCUUCUGUUCAACGGAAGAAUUGCAUCUGAAACUGCGAGUCUUGAGUGUAGGAGGGGAGAAUGGAACUUCUGGUGGAGCGGUGAAAUGCGUAGAUAUCAGAAGGAACGCCGGCGGCGAAAGCGAUUCUCUGGCCUAUUACUGACACUGAGUGUGCGAAAGCUAGGGGAGCAAACGGGAUUAGAUACCCCGGUAGUCCUAGACGUAAACGAUGGGCACUAAGUAGAGGGGUUUU
rnacentral:rRNA from 1 species